CACUGUGCGCAGUGGCAGUAUCAUAGCCAAUGAGGUGAAUCCGAGGCGUGAUUGUUGCUAGUUGAAAACUUUUCCCUUUAAGGAAUAAAACGAUAUUUUAGGACAUACAUUUCUGAAGGAAAACCUGGGACGGGGAGUGUGUUGGGAUCACCCUGUGGCAAUCUUUAAGACUGGUAAGAGCCA
rnacentral:snRNA from 1 species